rnacentral:pre_miRNA from 1 species
AGUGGAAUUGCUGGGUCAUAUGGUAACUCAAUGUUUAACUUUUUGAGGAAUUGCCAAAUUGUUUUCAAGAGUGACUGUACCAUAUUAUAUUCCCACUAGCAAU